UACGGAGGGUGCAAGCGUUAUCCGGAUUCACUGGGUUAAAGGGUGCAUAGGUGGGUUUGUAAGUCAGUGGUGAAAUCUCCAGGCUUAACCUGGAAACUGCCAUUGAUACUAUAGAUCUUGAAUUUUCUGGAGGUAAGCGGAAUAUGUCAUGUAGCGGUGAAAUGCUUAGAUAUGACAUAGAACACCAAUUGCGAAGGCAGCUUGCUACAGGAAUAUUGACACUGAGGCACGAAAGCGUGGGGAUCAAACAGG
rnacentral:rRNA from 1 species